UGAGGAAUAUUGCGCAAUGGUGGCAACCCUGACGCAGCAACGCCGCGUGAGUGAGGAAGGUUUUCGGACCGUAAAGCUCUGUCGAGCGGGAAGAAGUGCAUGGUGGCUAAUAUCCAUCAUGCUUGACGGUACCGCUAGAGGAAGCACCGGCUAACUCCGUGCCAGCAGCCGCGGUCAUACGGGGGGUGCAAGCGUUGUUCGGAAUUAUUGGGCGUAAAGAGCGUGUAGGCGGUUGAAUAAGACAGAGGUGAAAUCCCCGGGCUUAACCUUGGAAGUGCAUUUGAAACUAUUCAGCUGGAGUAAGGGAGAGGAAAGUGGAAUUCCUGGUGUAGAGGUGAAAUUCGUAGAUAUCAGGAGGAACACCGGCGGCGAAGGCGACUUUCUGGCCCUAUACUGACGCUGAGACGCGAGAGCGUGGGUAGCAAACA
rnacentral:rRNA from 1 species